rnacentral:rRNA from 1 species
GACGAACGCUGGCGGCGUGCUUAACACAUGCAAGUCGAACGGAAAGGCCCUGCUUGCAGGGUACUCGAGUGGCGAACGGGUGAGUAACACGUGGGUGAUCUGCCCUGCACUUCGGGAUAAGCCUGGGAAACUGGGUCUAAUACCGGAUAGGAGCCAUUUUUAGUGUGAUGGUUGGAAAGUUUUUUCGGUGUAGGAUGAGCUCGCGGCCUAUCAGCUUGUUGGUGGGGUAAUGGCCUACCAAGGCGGCGACGGGUAGCCGGCCUGAGAGGGUGGACGGCCACAUUGGGACUGAGAUACGGCCCAGACUCCUACGGGUGGCAGCAGUGGGGAAUAUUGCACAAUGGGCGCAAGCCUGAUGCAGCGACGCCGCGUGUGGGAUGACGGCCUUCGGGUUGUAAACUCCUUUCGCUAGGGACGAAGCUUUUUGUGACGGUACCUAGAUAAGAAGCACCGGCUAACUACGUG